GACGAACGCUGGCGGCGUGCUUAACACAUGCAAGUCGAACGGAAAGGCCUCACUUGUGGGGUACUCGAGUGGCGAACGGGUGAGUAACACGUGGGUGAUCUGCCCUCAACUUUGGGAUAAGCCUGGGAAACUGGGUCUAAUACCGGAUAUGACCACUGGAUGCAUGUUUGGUGGUGGAAAGCUUUAUUGCGGUUGGGGAUGGGCCCGCGGCCUAUCAGCUUGUUGGUGGGGUAAUGGCCUACCAAGGCGACGACGGGUAGCCGACCUGAGAGGGUGAUCGGCCACACUGGGACUGAGACACGGCCCAGACUCCUACGGGAGGCAG
rnacentral:rRNA from 1 species